rnacentral:rRNA from 1 species
CGACCGGCGCACGGGUGAGUAACGCGUAUCCAACCUGCCCACCACUUGGGGAUAACCUUGCGAAAGUAAGGCUAAUACCCAAUGAUAUCUCUAGAAGACAUCUGAAAGAGAUUAAAGAUUUAUCGGUGAUGGAUGGGGAUGCGUCUGAUUAGCUUGUUGGCGGGGUAACGGCCCACCAAGGCGACGAUCAGUAGGGGUUCUGAGAGGAAGGUCCCCCACAUUGGAACUGAGACACGGUCCAA